rnacentral:rRNA from 1 species
UACGGGGGGGGCAAGCGUUGUUCGGAAUUACUGGGCGUAAAGGGCGCGUAGGCGGUUCGCUAAGUUGGAUGUGAAAACUCUGGGCUCAACCCAGAGCCUGCAUCCGAAACUGGAGUGCUAGAGUUCUGGAGGGGGUAGCGGAAUUCCUGGUGUAGCGGUGAAAUGCGUAGAUAUCAGGAGGAACACCGGUGGCGAAGGCGGCUAGCUGGACAGAAACUGACGCUGAGGCGCGAAAGCUAGGGGAGCAAACAGG